AGUGGCUCAUUCACCCUGUUAUGACAGCCCUGCGAAAGCGGACAAGCGCUUCAUAAAACUUCGAAUGACGCACAAUACGGUGCCUGCCGUCCACCAAACCGAUAACAGAUCACUUUGUGACUUUAUCAAGCAUCGGACGCAACGUUGAGUUAGGCACCACCUC
rnacentral:sRNA from 1 species